CUGCCUCCCUCCUCCCCAGGCCUGCCUCCCUGCCUCCCUCCCCCAGGCGACCCUCCCUGCCUCCCUCCCCCCAGGCCUGCCUGCCUGCCUCCCUCCCCCCCGGCGACCCUCCAACCCCCCAGGCAACAUGGACAGGCCUGCUUUAGUCCCCUGCCAGAUGCCCUUUGUAUGUCUGAUACACUGGGACACUGGGCCUGGCCUGCUGACCUGUUUUGGCUGGCUGGCUUGCUGGCAGAUGGCUAACAUUACUGGAAGAAGACUCAAAUGGGCUGGCUGCAAGACAGACACAGGCCAACCCAUCCUCCAACCCAGGCUAACCCAGCCAGGCCCCUGACAGAGAGGGCCCACUGGGUCUGUCAUGGGGGAGACUUGAGGACUUGGGGGCAACUGCUUUGUUGAGGCUUUUUUGUCCUUUUGGGAGGGGUUUAAUUUCCUCUGUCCAUGCUUUUGUUACCUUCUGUAUAAAUAUUAUUAUAUUAUCGUUAUCAUUAUUAUUCUAUUAUUUCUUUUAAAUCAGGUUUAAAUAUGUAUGAUUAUGGAAUAUUUUAGGGCUGACCUGUUGCACAGGUUUGAUUUGUUUUAAAUGGUUUUAAGGCGAUUAUUUGCUUUAAAAGUAAAAAAUAUCAAAUAACAAAUACAUUUUAACAGUGGUAAUGGGUACUAGUAUUACAGGAUCCUCAAUAGGUUUGAGGAGCUGGUUGACUAGACUAAGAGGGAAGGUUUGAGGUGUUGGUUGACUAGACUAAGAGGGAAGGUUUGAGGAGGUGGUUGACUAGACUAAGAGGGAAGGUUUGAGGAGCUGGUUGACUAGACUAAGAGGGAAGGUUUGAGGAGCUGGUUGACUAGACUAAGAGGGAAGGUUUGAGGAGCUGGUUGACUAGACUAAGAGGGAAGGUUUGAGGUGGUGGUUGACUAGACUAAGAGGGAAGGUUUGAGGUGUUGGUUGACUAGACUAAGAGGGAAGGUUUGAGGAGAUGGUUGACUAGACUAAGAGGGAAGGUUUGAGGAGCUGGUUGACUAGACUAAGAGGGAAGGUUUGAGGAGCUGGUUGACUAGACUAAGAGGGAAGGUUUGAGGAGCUGGUUGACUAGACUAAGAGGGAAGUAGUGAGGUGUUGGUUGACUAGACUAAGAGGGAAGGUUUGAGGAGCUGGUUGACUAGACUAAGAGGGAAGUAGUGAGGUGUUGGUUGACUAGACUAAGAGGGAAGGUUUGAGGAGCUGGUUGACUAGACUAAGAGGGAAGGUUUGAGGAGCUGGUUGACUAGACUAAGAGGGAAGGUUUGAGGUGUUGGUUGACUAGACUAAGAGGGAAGGUUUGAGGUGUUGGUUGACUAGACUAAGAGGGAAGGUUUGAGGAGCUGGUUGACUAGACUAAGAGGGAAGGUUUGAGGAGCUGGUUGACUAGACUAAGAGGGAAGGUUUGAGGAGCUGGUUGACUAGACUAAGAGGGAAGGUUUGAGGAGCUGGUUGACUAGACUAAGAGGGAAGGUUUGAGGAGCUGGUUGACUAGACUAAGAGGGAAGGUUUGAGGAGCUGGUUGACUAGACUAAGAGGGAAGGUUUGAGGUGUUGGUUGACUAGACUAAGAGGGAAGGUUUGAGGAGGUGGUUGACUAGACUAAGAGGGAAGGUUUGAGGAGCUGGUUGACUAGACUAAGAGGGAAGGUUUGAGGAGCUGGUUGACUAGACUAAGAGGGAAGGUUUGAGGAGCUGGUUGACUAGACUAAGAGGGAAGGUUUGAGGAGGUGGUUGACUAGACUAAGAGGGAAGGUUUGAGGUGUUGGUUGACUAGACUAAGAGGGAAGGUUUGAGGAACUGGUUGACUAGACUAAGAGGGAAGGUUUGAGGUGUUGGUUGACUAGACUAAGAGGGAAGGUUUGAGGUGUUGGUUGACUAGACUAAGAGGGAAGGUUUGAGGUGUUGGUUGACUAGACUAAGAGGGAAGGUUUGAGGAGCUGGUUGACUAGACUAAGAGGGAAGGUUUGAGGUGUUGGUUGACUAGACUAAGAGGGAAGGUUUGAGGUGUUGGUUGACUAGACUAAGAGGGAAGGUUUGAGGAGCUGGUUGACUAGACUAAGAGGGAAGGUUUGAGGAGCUGGUUGACUAGACUAAGAGGGAAGGUUUGAGGAGCUGGUUGACUAGACUAAGAGGGAAGGUUUGAGGUGUUGGUUGACUAGACUAAGAGGGAAGGUUUGAGGUGCUGGUUGACUAGACUAAGAGGGAAGGUUUGAGGUGCUGGUUGACUAGACUAAGAGGGAAGGUUUGAGGAGCUGGUUGACUAGACUAAGAGGGAAGGUUUGAGGAGCUGGUUGACUAGACUAAGAGGGAAGGUUUGAGGUGUUGGUUGACUAGACUAAGAGGGAAGGUUUGAGGAGCUGGUUGACUAGACUAAGAGGGAAGGUUUGAGGAGCUGGUUGACUAGACUAAGAGGGAAGGUUUGAGGAGCUGGUUGACUAGACUAAGAGGGAAGGUUUGAGGUGUUGGUUGACUAGACUAAGAGGGAAGGUUUGAGGUGUUGGUUGACUAGACUAAGAGGGAAGGUUUGGCUAGAAAGAAGAAUCAUAGAUGUGAUUGGUUUGAAGUCAGUCAGACUAGUGGCCUUGUCAACUAUAAUACAUUUAUGAAGUUGCGUCCUGUUUUAAAUAUGAAGGCUGGGAGGUAGAGUGCUUUCUGAGACAGAGUGACCGAAUUUGAGUUUAUUAUUUCUUCCAAAAUGAAAUGUAGCUCCUUUAAGAGGAGGAAGAAACAAGCAUGAUAAAAUCCUUCUUCAAAUGGUCUCCUGUUCAAGCAGCCAUUUUGCAAGUCUUUAUAUCUGUAUAAUGAUGAAAUCUUUUAAUCUGUGUUAUUUUACAGAUCAUUUUUAUGAUAUAAUGUAGGUAGCUAGUAUGUGAUUCGCAUUAUUCUGGCUUCUGCAAAUGUGUUUACCACGAUAUUGACGUAUACCAACCCACUCAUCAUUCUAUCAUUUGAUGGGCUGUAUGUAAUCCACUGUACAGUAAUUACCAGUAUUUAAGAAAACAGAGCGAGUGCUCAGGGGGCAUGGUGCAAACAGUGACUAUGGCUACAUCCUAAUUAAAUAUAAUUCCUCCCAAAGUGUGCACUUGUUCACUUCCCUUUACUGAUUUGAAGGAAGUGACUGGUAUAAGAACUAUGUUCUAGCCUGUACAUCCACCAAUCCAAUGCUUUUAGAUUGCGGGAGGUAGUGAACGAGUGUACACUUCAGGAGAAAUGAGAUAUUUUUGGGACGCACCCAUGAUGAUUAGCUAUAGGGUUGUAUAGGGUUGUGUGGAUAGGAAGGUGGCCUUUCUAUGUCUUCUUACUAUGGCUUCAGGUCAUGUUGAAUGAACUGCUCUGUCUGGGACAGUCUGUCAGUCCUAUAACUACUAGUGUUACUUGCUCCUGAUUUCCCAUUGAAUUGAAUCUCUCUGGGAAGUUUAGUGUUAUUUUUGUUUCUGUCUUGCAUCAAGAAUCCAAAUCUUUAAGGGAGUCACACACCCAAGUCAAUAGGAGGGUCUUGAAUUGAAACAUAUAUAAUGAGUUGGGAGAUCUAUACAAACCCACCCGUCUAAGUGUGCGCAUGCCUAUGAGCUGAUUUUAUUUAUUUUAUUUGAGGUUUUUAUUUAAAAUGUUCAUUUAGUUUUUAUUUGAUCAAUGGAUUUUGAUUUUCAGUGACUGAAUCCGUUGUGAUACCGAUGAUCUCUUGCCUGGUAAGUGUGGUAUUACUGUGAUAUUUUAGAUUGAAAGCAAUGCUGUAGUGCUAUUGGCCGAUUCCGGUUCCAUAUGCAAUGGAGUGACUCAUUGAAACACAACGGUGUCCUUCCUCAUCUGUGACACUGGGCCUCCCGGCGCCCUCUGACACUUGACCUUUAGGUCACGUGACGUACCCGACUAUUGAAUGCAACGCACCUCCAUUUGCAUGUCAUUGACAUUGGAAUGAGGGAGACGGAAUGAGAUGGGAGGGUGUUGGCAUGGUUACUCCAGCGUGCUAGUCUACCAGCCAGAGGGGGCACAGAUGAUGAGCUGUAGAAUUUGUGGUUGGUCAUCAAUUCGUUUUUUUUAUUUUUUAUUAAGCAAUUGAAAAAAAUAAACUGACUGAAAAGAGAAGUGGAACAAAA